UGACCGGGCGGUUUGGUGAGGGGGGGAGAGGGCGCAGGCCGGCUACGCGCCCUCGGCGGGGGGAAGCUGCCCCGACAGCCGCCCGAGGCGGGCCGCGCGCUGGGUGCCCGGUGAGCCGAGGCGGAGGCGCGGGGUGGCCGAGCGGCUUCGCCCCGGUGCGUCUGUGAGCCGGACUCCCGACCGCGGCACCGGGACGGCGCCGGGGCCCUCGGCGGCGCUGGGCCGCUCUGCGAGACGAGGCCUCGUGCCGCACCCGCCGGCCUUGCCGUGCCAGCCCGUGGAAGACGAAGCGCGCGGCUUCCUUCCUCCCGUGCUCAUCUGCGAAGCUUUUCGGUUUACCCGGCACACGUUACUAGUAACUUUCAGGAGGCUAAAAGGAAAAGUCUGACCACUUUUUCGAAACGUUGCCUGAAGUUUAAAAGCACAGAAGACCUGUUGUAGGCUACGGAGACUUUGUAAAGCUUGAGUCUUGCGUUUGCUAACGACUCGCGUCGUGCGGGGGUUUCACCAGUGUGUUUGACGCCAUUCGCCUAAAUAGCUUUUAUGAGGAAUUUUGUGAUAUUUUAUUGUUUUUUUUUAGCUUUAAGACUUUCUAGCUCUGCAGAACUUGGAGCUACUCUGCACUUGUCACUUCUUUCAAACCAUACUUUCAUUUUGCCCUGUAUUUUCAUGGUAACUUCACCUUGGUGGUCAUAGGAAUCAGUAAGUCACGAAAAGGGUCGUUCUUUUACAACAGAGCAGAAAUACACGAAACUUACUGACGACUGCAAAACCCAAGAAACGUACGUGUGCUUCAGCGUGAAAACGGCUGCUGGAACGCCGGUGCUGGAAGCUCCCCUGUGAUACACAUGGAGCGAGCCUCAACUGCCGAAAGCCAAGAAAGCGGCUUUGAUUUUUUUACAUAGGUCAUUUGCCUUGCAAGAGUAGAUGUUUUUAUUUUAUGGCACAAUUAUGAAAAUAUGUUGGAAAACAUUUCUGAAACACUGUUAAAUCGGUACUCAGAGUAUUCAGAAGCUGUCAACUAACUUCAAAGUCACUUAAGCCAGUUUGAUUUCAGUGGAUUAAAAUACACAACCCCAAACAAACCCUAGGACCUUUGUAUUUCAAAGACUUAUUUUUAACGAUCACUUAUUGAUAUUGCAUUAUAACACGUACUUUUAUUUUCCUAACUUGUCUCUUACUGAUCAGACCUACGGUUUCUUUUUAAAGUUAAUUAAAAUCUUAGAAGAAAGGGAGAACCAUUUGCAGCACUUUCAAUACUGUAUUGCUACACAAACUUUUCUUCUUGCUGAAAGAUGAAAACAAAGCAUGAUGAUAAACAAUUUUAAAAGCUUUAGACUGAGGAAUGAAAACUUUUGCAGUUGCCUACUCUACUGCGAGUUGUAAGUCCAUCUGAUGCUUUUGGUUGUACAGAAAAAUGCUUAACUGAGAAAAUGAAUAGUUUAACAAAAAGAAGUUGAAGUUAGCAAGCACCAAUUUAGAUUUGAGACUGCAAGACAUUCUUGGGGCAUUUGGUUAUACCUAGGAGAUGUGCAAGGUUGGAAAGGGUGUCCCAUUUAACCGACUGAAUUUGGCACCACCAUACUUAAGGGCUCUACAGAGGACUUAUUACACAUAGAAAAUAAAUUUCUACUUUUAGCUUUCUCAGUUGAAAUGAGGCUUGAAGUACAGAUAUUAAAAUCACUCUUUCUAGGGAUUUCGAGUGGUAGUUUAUGUUGUGAAAAACAAAACCAAAUGUCUCUCUGUGAAAGGGCUAGCACCAGAGAUCAUAGUAUAAAGUUCAGAAAGUCUUUUAGAAAUUGUUAUUAGUAUUUGUGUAGUGCCGUCAGUUAAUCCAGAUUUUACGGUAAAUAAAAAAUAUAACAUCAACAGAGAAGCAAAUCCCUGACCCAUAGAGCUUCCACUCUAAAGACUGAUAUUUACUAGAAAAAGCAUAUGGUGAGAAGUGUCUGAAGGUUAGCGGGGCUCAGUUUCAUGGAGCAGGAUAAAAUAAUUGGAAGAAGUCAGAUUUGACAGAUAUUUAAGAGGAUGAAUACAGCAUGCUAAUAUGUGUAAAGGAUCGAACAGCACGAGCUGAAAUGGCUGGAUUCCAGGUAGGAGAACCAAACAGGCUUUUGGAGAUCCUUCCAUGCCCUCGAUUUUGGGUGCGAAUAACAGUAAUUUUGGAUCUUGCUGUAGUUUCUUGCGACUUACCAGAAGGGCUUUUAGGCUGGGCUGGCGGCAAGAACAGGCAAAGAGAAGAGUUUUCCAACCACCUCCUCAACAUCUGCCCAGAUCAGGGAAUUUCCAGUGGGAAACUGCUUUCCAGCCCCUACAUGAUGAUGGUGCCUAGUCCAGAAUUAAGGUCAGAAAGAGUAUAGAAAACAAUUUGGGAAGAGUUUAGAAGUUGAAAUUUGAUGUGAGAGGAAAUUAAGUUAGGUAUGGACAGAACAGAAGAGCACCAGAAGGCAGAAAUACGCACUCAGCGCACAAGAUGGGUGAUGCAGGCAAAGGGUUUUUUUCUAAGGCCAAGGGGAGAACAACAGGAGAGGAAGAUAAGGUAGCAGCAGAAGUUCGAGUAAAUGGGAGCCGUUGCCUGCUUUGGGGUGAAGUCUGCAGUGACUGGGCUGAAAAGAUUUUGGGGAGGAUGGGACAGUAUUACGUAGAAGGCAAUCCUCAAAGGAAGGACCUUGCUCUCAUUCAGUUCAGUGAGAGUUUUCCUGCUGACUUGCACAGUGUGACAGUAGUCAACAGGUAGCCAGCCAGAACAGGAGGAGGGUGAGAAUAACAUGGUUUGCUUUAGAAGAUUGAUUCUAAAGGUAGAAUCCAAGAGCUGGAAGAAGGAAUAGAGAAGUCUUGAGCCCAUUUGUCUGCUGUUUGUACAAUGUGAUGUAUACGAAAUGAAAGAAAAGUAUGUGAUAAUUUUAAUAGACUUUUACACCAGGGAUAUGAGUUUUGUUUCUCAUGACAGAUUAUGACAACUAGAAAAUCAGUGAAAUCACAGCAUUGUAAGAGACUAAAAGCUUAACAGCAGAGGGGAGAUGAUGAGCAUUCCCCAGCUGCAUGGGUAUAAUUGAAGGUGUGUUGCGCUGCAGAUUUAGGUCAAAAUUGUGCCCACAUUCACAACUGUACUAGUUUAACAAGAAUACUGUAUUUGUUUUUCAUUCAGAUGCAAAAUAAUGCAAGACACCUAUCAAUGGCUCUGAGCACCUAACAUAAUUAAUUAUAUAAUAAAUACAAUUACGUUAAUCCUCAGCAGUAUUAAGAUCACAGGUCUCACAGGAACACAAUAAGCUAUCCAGCUGCUUUGUUACUUAGACACUUCAUCAUCUCUCAGCCAUCCUGAACUCCUUGCGUGAAGAUGACUUUGGCAAAAGCCUCCAGGAAGGAACCAAAUUCAGUCUGUAUCAAGAUGAAAGUAGGGAAGAUAGAUCCCUUCACACAGAGUACCCUCCUUCUUUUCCUCUUUUUUUUAAGAAAAAAAAUACUCAGAUUGAGCCAGUCUAUGCUUAGAGCUGCUUAAGAUAGAUUUGCUUAGCUGGUUAGGAUAACUUGGGAGGAAGGGUUGCUCCCUUAGUCAGGCCAGUUAGAAGUUUAUCUGUUACAGCCGACACUUGAAUUCCACUUAGAAGCGGGUCAGCCAAGUGCCAUGUCCUUUGGAGGUGAUGCCGUACUGCUAUGACAAACUGUAUUCCUUGUCUUCCAUGUUGUCAGCACUUUCAGAAACACUGAAUUCAGAUUGUGGAUUUACUUAAUGAAAGACAUUGAUUAAAAAGCCUAAUUAAAAAAUUGCCUAAGGCCUACUUUAAGUAUUUCAGUAAUUGACCAUUUUCAAACAAACAGCUUUUCUUUUUUCACCUCCCCUUCAUUGAAGCCGUAAUACCAAAUAGGUAAUACAAUUAUUUUGACAGGAUCAGCCCAUCAGAAAGACUGUCAUAUGCCUUCUUUGCAAGAGCAAACAGAAUGGGAAGCUGGAUGGAAAAUGAGGGCUCUCUGAACACAUUUCAGUCCUGACAUGAAGUUCCCCAUGUGCUAAGAUUUUCCUCUAAAGAUCCUCUGCUAGAGCCCACUGAUGUCUGUGGAAAAGUUAUGAUUCACUUGGAAGAGCUAUAGAUCAGCAUAUGAACAAGGAUUUGCUUUUUCUCCUGGACAUCGGAAAUACGGAUCCAUUUUAACGAAUGCAAAACAAAGUGCAGCUUUGUACUCCCGGCUGUGGUGAAAUGCCUUCACGGUAGUGGAGCUGUGGAACUUUAUUACUGAAAGCAAAACGUAUCUAACAUCUGGUCUUGCAGUGGCUGCUCAGAUCCAUUUCGGGGUGGAAGGAAGGAUCAGUCACUCCAUGCAUUGAGCAGGUUACUUCAAAGCUUGGACACGUGUUGAAUGACAAAGGUGGAGCCAAGUCAGCCUGUGAUGGUAGAACAAACGUUCUAAGUACGAACCGUGCUGCUUUGUUCUGUUCCAGGACCUCAGUCUGAACUACUUGAGUAGUUUUGAAAUGGCAGAUUUGAAUUAAUGAAGUUAUGUUGCUAAAGUAAGAGUGGCUGGGGGAAGAAGAAAGGUUGCAAUGAAAUGCUGGCUGGAGACUAACUAGCCUUCACCAGAGGUAGUACCAGACCUUUGAAUUUCUAGCGGGCAUCAUACAAACAUAAAUUUCCUCCUACAUUGAGGCUACCAAAAGAGUAAAAUAUUAACAUGUAUUAGGGUGGCAAAAUUUGGAACGCAGUUAGGAAACAGUAAUGUAAACCACAGGAAAAAAAAAUGUAUCUGUAUACACAGAGUGGUUUGUGGUAUUAACCUUCUGUGGUUUAUAUUGCUGUUGUUUAAAUAUACUAGCCCCACUGCUUACCUUAUGCUGUGUCUUGGAGGUCUUUUGGGGGAAGAUAAAUACAGCUCAGGAAAAGAAGCAGCAUACGCUUAGAACCUGUGGUUAGGAAGGAGACAGGGAUAAAGAUUUCUCAGAGCUGUCUCCUAGACUAACUCUGAGUUGUCCGAAAGAGUAAUGAUUUCAUGAAUAAGGCAAAAGACAGAAGAAAUCCAGAGUUUCUGCUGAGUUCUACUUGUACUCCUGGGCAGAACACUUUUUUUCCAAUCUCUGUGUGCUGUUUAAAUAUUGCUCUAGUGAUCAGAUCACAGGGAAGUCUUUUACUAAGGAUUUUUUCUCUUGAACAGCUCUAAGAACUAAUAAAUUCAUAGAUGAUGUGACUUGGACAAAGCAAUGGGAUGUUGCAUCUGCUCUGCUAGAAAUAGUAAGAAAUGUUUGGUCACUUACAGCACAAAUACGUUAUAGCCAUUAUUAUGUACUCAUAAGCUUGAGUAAACAACUGCUUGCUUGUUUUUCUGCUUGUCUAUGGAAAAGCAAAAGUGUGUUAUGUCCUGGUCCAGACAGCAGGAAAGGAAAAAGGCUUUUGGUUGCAUAAUUCUCUGGUCUUUUAUCAUUGGAUGGAUUAAUUUAACCUUCUUUUCACAAUAUACCUCAUGUGAUUGAUCCAGCUGAUUGUUAAAGCCUACUGAAAUGUAUCUGUGAUGGUACUGUUCUGACCUCUUGUUUCCUUCUCAUUGUAAUAAAGUACUUGCAAUUCUAA